rnacentral:sRNA from 1 species
UCACCACUCUCGUCCCUUCAUUAAAUAUUCCUCUUUCACAGCCUAUCUCGACUUUGAACUACCGACUAGCAAUGACGACGUGUGGGAAUGAAGACGCUAUUUCUAGAAGCCAAGGGUACUCCAUUUUGCACCGUUCCAGUAUCAUAAAGCCACAUCGAACCAACCGUAUCUGUAUCCAGUAUUCUUAAAAGCAUGGAUGAAGAGCUGGAUGUAAACAUAGAAAUCUGAUCUGGUUAUCUGUUUGUCUACCAUUACCGAAUACCACCCCAGAGGAUGCAUCACUGCGGCUGUGAAGCUUCAAACCCCAGGAUGGCAUGGCGAAUUUAUGUAUAUGGAAAUUGAACUCUCCGAAUACACGUUCCCAGCCGACUUGUGUUUCCACAGCCGACUUGCAUUUCCACAACGCAAUAGAUCGAAAAGAAUAUUGAGAAGUCUCACGGCAGUUCGUCUAUCUCGCAUACUACCCUUCUCCCUGUAUCACCUUCGCAAGUGUGUGCCAUCACCAUUCUAAAGAUGGAUGAGGUCUCAAACCAGCGUUGCUCAUUGGGGUGAAGUAGGGGUCGUUUGAGCGCUACUUUUUUACCUGACCUUGCAGCGAUGCUUACCAACGUCUCUCGACUUUUCUCUGCCACUUUCUUUUGCCAGCUCUAUUCAUCCUUGACGUCGCAUCUUGCUUUCUACUCCCGUUUGGAAUCUUUUUACCUGGGCGCAACUAUUCCACUCAACGUUAAAAGGAUAAUUUUGAGGGAUUGAUGAGGAGAGAUGAAAGUCUGGAACACGCAACGAGCGCAAACACUCGCAGAGGAGAGACGAAUGAGUAUAUCAGCUGGAUGACAGGAAGAAUUCGGCCAUUCGUUUAUGUCUGCUCUAUGCACUGCGUCCUGCGGCCUGAACUGUUAAGCAAGAUGGGACCUCUGUGUUGCUCUUCUCGUCUGACAUAACGCUAUCUGUCAUGUAGCAUCAAACAGUUGGGGGAGAGAAUCAUGGACAUGAUUCCCGAUUAGGAUUCGGGCCGCGUUGGAAGUAGUUUUGUGUUUGCCAAUCAGAAGUUGGGAUAGGAUGGAGGGAAGCAUCAACCUUAUUAAAUGUAUAUUUUAUAUUCUAUUGAUGAUGAUGUCAAUUUGGAUCUGACC